GCGGGAUUAGUAUAGUGGUAGUAUGUCUCUCUCCAAAAGAGAAGGCGUGGGUUCGAUUCCUACAUCCCGUGCCA
rnacentral:tRNA from 1 species